UUAAUAGCAUAAUUCAUUGACGUUAGUCACAGAAGAAGCACCGGCUAACUCCGUGCCAGCAGCCGCGGUAAUACGGAGGGUGCGAGCGUUAAUCGGAAUAACUGGGCGUAAAGGGGCACGCAGGCGGUGACUUAAGUGAGGUGUGAAAUCCCCGGGCUUAACCUGGGAAUUGCAUUUCAGACUGGGUCGCUAGAGUACUUUAGGGAGGGGUAGAAUUCCACGUGUAGCGGUGAAAUGCGUAGAGAUGUGGAGGAAUACCGAAGGCGAAGGCAGCCCCUUGGGAAUGUACUGACGCUCAUGUGCGAAAGCGUGGGGAGCAAACAGGAUUAGAUACCCUGGUAG
rnacentral:rRNA from 1 species